UACGGAGGGGGUUAGCGUUGUUCGGAAUGACUGGGCGUAAAGCGCGCGUAGGCGGAUCGCAAAGUUGGGGGUGAAAGCCCAGGGCUCAACCCUGGAAUUGCCUUCAAGACUCGCGGUCUGGAGUUCGAGAGAGGUGGGUGGAAUUCCGAGUGUAGAGGUGAAAUUCGUAGAUAUUCGGAGGAACACCAGUGGCGAAGGCGGCCCACUGGCUCGACACUGACGCUGAGGCGCGAAAGCGCGGGGAGCAAAC
rnacentral:rRNA from 1 species